UAACACUGUCUGGUAACGA
rnacentral:ncRNA from 2 species